UUAUGACAACAACUCCCCAGUACUGUCUGAGCGCUCCCUGCUGGCUAUGCAAGAAGACAGGGCCCGGGGGGGCUCGGAGAAGCUUUAUAAAGUGCCAGAGCAUUAUACACUGUUGGACCACUUGCCAUCGCCAAAGUCGAAGUCAAGAGAAAGUUCUCCUGGACCAAGGCUUGGAAAAGGUAACUGAAGCCUGGCUGUGACAGCCCAAUGACUUAAUCACCUGCCUGUGGUUGUAACACGGGUGGGCCAUGUUGGACUUUCUUCAUGUUUGUUGUUUCUCUAAUUCAAAGAAUAUUUACUGAGUAUCUGCUAAAUACAAAAGAUGGGAAAAAGGAAUGGUGACCCCAAGGCAUUGGACUUAGAAGGUGCCUUCAACCUUUGAUUCUCAAAUAUUUGUGAAGUGAGCACAUGCCUCAAAAAGCCACUCAUGUUCCCAAACGAUCUUUUCUUUUCAGUAUCCAGAGGAGCCU
rnacentral:lncRNA from 1 species